rfam:Brachypodium distachyon strain Bd21 chromosome 3, whole genome shotgun sequence.
CUAGUACUCCCUCUGUCCAACAAAGGAUGUCUCAACUUUGAUCAAAUUUGAAUGCAUUUAUACACUAAGUCAUGUCUAGAACUCUAGAUACAUCCAAAUUUUGACAAACUCGAGACAUCUUUUGUUGGACGGAGGAAGUAUAUG